rnacentral:rRNA from 1 species
UAUAAUUGUCAGCUAAGUGGCGCACGGGUGAGUAAUGUAUAGAUAACCUGCCCUUAAGAAAGGAAUAACAGUUGGAAACGACUGCUAAUGCCCUAUAUGCCUUUAAUACAUAAGUAUGCAAGGGAAACGCUUUAGUGCUUAAGGAUGGGUCUGUAUGGUAUCAGCUUGUUGGUGAGGUAAUGGCUCACCAAGGCUAUGACGCCUAACUGGUUUGAGAGGAUGAUCAGUCACACUGGAACUGAGACACGGUCCAGACUCCUACGGGAGGCAGCAGUGGGGAAUAUUGCACAAUGGACGAAAGUCUGAUGCAGCAACGCCGCGUGGAGGAUGACACAUUUCGGUGCGUAAACUCCUUUUAUAUAGGAAGAUAAUGACGGUACUAUAUGAAUAAGCACCGGCUAACUCCGUGCCAGCAGCCGCGGUAAUACGGAGGGUGCAAGCGUUACUCGGAAUCACUGGGCGUAAAGAGCGUGUAGGCGGGUAUAUAAGUCAGAAGUGAAAUCCAAUAGCUCAACUAUUGAACUGCUUUUGAAACUGUAUACCUAGAAUGUGGGAGAGGUAGAUGGAAUUUCUGGGGUAGGGGUAAAAUCCGUAGAGAUCAGAAGGAAUACCGAUUGCGAAGGCGAUCUACUGGAACAUUAUUGACGCUGAGACGCGAAAGCGUGGGGAGCAAACAGGAUUAGAUACCCUGGUAGUCCACGCCCUAAACGAUGUACACUAGUUGUUGUGAGGCUCGACCUUGCAGUAAUGCAGUUAACACAUUAAGUGUACCGCCUGGGGGAGUAUGGUCGCAAGAUUAA